GUACAGUGAAUAACCCAGACACUAAAAAGCAAGGCAGCGGGGGUCCUACCAGCGCGGCUUUUGAUGACGUCGGUGAAUCCGUCCUCAGCGGCAUUUUCUGGGGUCUCCUGCAGACCCCUCAGCUGUGCCAUAACCAAACGCCACGUGCCUCAGCUUCCUCACGCCCCAAACUUUGGAAGGCAGACUGCCAUUUAUAAUGAGCCCUACGGAGAGGCCAUGUGGCAAGAAGCUGAGGCUGCCAGAGGGAACCUGAGGCCUGCCAGCAACCACAUACAUGAGUUUGGAAGUUAAUUCUUCAGCUUCCUUUGAGUCUUGAGGUAGCUACAGCCUGGCCAGAACUUGACUAAACUUCAUAAGGGACACUGAGCCAGAAACACCUAACUAAGCAAAUUCUGGUUUUAUGACCUUCAGAAAUUGUGUGAAAUAAUAAAUAUUUGUUGUUUUCAUUAUUCACCAUAGCAAAGUCAUGGAAUCAACCUAGGUGCCCAUCAACAGUGGAUUGGAUAAAAAAGGUGCACAUAUAACGCAUGGAAUACUAUGCAACCAUAAAAAAGAAUGAAACCACAUCCUUUGCAGCAACAUAGUUACAGCUAUAGAGCAUAAUCCUAAGCAAAUUAACACAGGAACAGAAAAGCAAAUAUUGCCUGUUCUCACUUAUAAGUGGGAGCUAAACAUUGGGUAUACAUGGACAUAAAGAUGGAAACAAUAGAUGAUGAGGACUCCGAAAUGGGGAAAGAACUGGAGUAACGGUUGAAAACCUACCUGUUGGGUACUAUGUUCACUAUUUGGGUAACAGAUUCAGUAGAAGCCCAAACCCUAGCAUUAUGCAAUGCACCCAUGUAACAAACCUGCACAUGUACCCACUGAAUCUAAAAUAAACUGUAUUUGUUGUUGUAAGAUGCUAAAGUUUGGGAUAAGUUGUUCUGCAACAAUAGGAGUGUGUGUGUGUGUGUGUGUGUGUGUGUGUGUGUGUGUAGAGAGAGAGAGAGAGAUACAGAAAGACAGAAGAAAAGAAUAUUUUUGGCAAGUAAAACUUGCAUAUUAAUGAAAAGAAAGGAUAUUUUUGAUAAAGUAAAUUCUAAAAUACAAUAUAUAAACUAAUACAUAUAUCUGUUUGGAUUUAAUAGAUCAGAGACCAUUGUAAAAACAGUGUGCCUAUUGCAUAAAUAUCCCUAAUAAAAAACUCACAAUUCUGUAAUAAAAUUAUUAUAUAUUUUAAUUUUGAAAGAUGUUUCAAGGCUGAACUAUCCAGAUGAAAGAGGUGAAAUCCACAUAAUUAUGCUUGAAAGCAUAUGGUUUUAAUUUUUAUAUUUUUGUAAUUAAGUGAAGAAAUUAAGGGGCAUUGAAGAUUUCACCUCUAAGCAGCUCACAGUUUUCCUAAGCUUGGACUAGGUGACAACUCUCUCAAUCUCACUCAAAACAUAUUUUAGUAUAAAUUAAGGUUAAUCUGUGAAUAGAUGUCAAUAACAUUUUCCUAUUAAAUAAAUACAAAUACCUUGACUUUAAGAUACAAAAAAACUACUUGUCAUUUAGUAUUUUGUAUUUUUAACUUGCCAGAUUUAUGUCAUAAUAUAAAUGCCAGAAUUUUGUCUAGGUGAAAUAAGAAUCAUCUGAAACACAUUCAUUAUUAUUUCAUC
rnacentral:lncRNA from 1 species